rnacentral:rRNA from 1 species
UAAUACCGGAUAGAUCAAAGAAACUGGAAUGUUCUCUGGUUAAAAACUCCGGUGCCCAAGGAUGGGUCUGCGGCCUAUCAGGUAGUAGUGGGUGUAACGUACCUACUAGCCUACGACGGGUAAGGGUUGUGAGAGCAAGAGCCCUGAGAUGGAUUCUGAGACAUGAAUCCAGGCCCUACGGGGUGCAGCAGGCGCGAAAACUUUACACUGCGGGAAACCGCGAUAAGGGGACCCCGAGUGCCAGCACCUAGUGCUGGCUGUCCAGCUGUCCAAAUAACAGUUGUUAGCAAGGGCCGGGCAAGACCGGUGCCAGCCGCCGCGGUAACACCGGCGGCCCGAGUGGUAGCCGUUAUUAUUGGGUUUAAAGGGUCCGUAGCCGGCCUAUUAAGUCUCUUGGGAAAUCUGGCGACUCAAUCGUCAGGCGUCC